CAGUCGCCGCGGUAAUACAGAGGGUGCGAGCGUUAAUCGGAUUUACUGGGCGUAAGCGUGCGUAGGCGGCUAAUUGAGUCGGAUGUGAAAUCCCCGAGCUUAACUUGGGAAUUGCAUUCGAUACUGGUUAGCUAGAGUGUGGGAGAGGAUGGUAGAAUUCCAGGUGUAGCGGUGAAAUGCGUAGAGAUCUGGAGGAAUACCGAUGGCGAAGGCAGCCAUCUGGCCUAACACUGACGCUGAGGUACGAAAGCAUGGGGAGCAAACAGGAUUAGAUACCCCCGUAGUCCCUGUCUCUUAUACA
rnacentral:rRNA from 1 species